AAGAUAAAAUAAAAUAAAAAGGAGCGCAGAGGUGCUUAAAUAAGAAAAGGGGUGUCUAAAUCAUUUUAUUUCUAAUAACAGACUGGGCUUAAACCCAAGUGGACAGGAGGUGUGGAAAUGAAACAGGGGGCUGCAGGGAGGAAGAUCUUUUCGAGGCAGAAUGGGCUUAAGCCCAAACAGAAGGGGUGUCAAGAUGGGAAGUGAGGUGUAUGGAUGGGAGAUUUUGUUUAGACAAGAUGGGCUGAAGCCCAAAGGAAACGGGAGUGCGAAAUAUGAACAAAGAGGGUGCAAAAAAGUUUUGUUUUGGUUUUUGACAAGGCUUGAGCCCGAAGAGAAAGGAGGGUGUGAAAUUAGAAUAAAAAGGGGUGCACAGAGGAAAAGGUUGUUUUUUUUUUGUCUUUGUUAUCCUUUGUUUCGGCGCUGGCCUGGGCAGAAAAAGAAGGGGGGUGCACAUAUGGGAAGCCAAACUGUAACAAAGUGUUUUUUCUUUAUUUUUCAUUAACAAAAAAAAAAAUAAACCCAACAACCCAAGCCCAACUCUCUUCUAACCUAGAAACUUUCUAGGGGUUUAGCCUUCUCCCCUUCAUUCCCAUCAUUUGUUCAAAGUUCACGAGACCUAGAGUCUCUUCUUCUCUGUAGAAAACAACCGAAACCCAAAGCACUCAAAAGCUGGCAACCACGUCGUCCUCACCUCCACCCAACCGGCAGCCGCGAACCGCGGCCCCUAGCGUCGCCAACGACGACGUCUACCGCCAGAUCCCCCACCUUCUCCUUCUCUCUUCUCGUGUACGAGAAACAGAAACGCUUCCUGGGACGCGCUCUCGGUCACCAGCGAGACCAGCCGCAACCGGUCGCCGCCGUCGAGGUUUCGUCUCGCAUCAUCGCCGACGACUGCGACUUUCGCCGAAAGCGUCGCACGAACACUCUCUCCUCCUAUUCGAAUUCGAAAGCCGCUGUCGUCAGAGAACCACCGAUGUUCCCUGUCGUCACCAAGGUGGUCGCCGACCACCACGCUACUGCCUUUCACCUUCGCUUGCGAGCAGGGAAGUGACUUUGGGGUUAUUGAUAUUUCCAGAAUGAAACUGAGAUUAUGAGUGGGUGAUGAUGUAUCUGCUUAGAUGUUUCUCUUGCAGGAAGAUGGUCAGAGGGGUUUUCAUGGUAUAAGCGAAGAUUGAGGGGGUUUUUGUAUCUGUUUGCAGGUUUGUGGCAAGGCAUGUUUUCUAGGUGUAAGCAAAUGAUAUUGAAAUCCGAUGCUUGGGGAAUAUACAUCGAUUUCCUAUUGUCAUUUAUAUCUGAUGAAUUUUGUUGGCAU